UAAUGUCUGAGCAGAUGGAGAGCCUCAGCGGCAUCACGACGUGUACAUUAUGUAUGUGUUUGUGUAUCGAGGACGCCUCUCUACCGUUGCUGUCAAAUCCAAGGUAACAUAUCUGCCCGUCCGUCUCCAGUCAGCUGCAUUAGAGAACUACAGGUCUCUAUUCUGAGAUAAUCAUCGUACUAAUGUAAUAAAGACGAUAGACAGACAUUCUUCUGGUUGCACUGCUGUAACAGUGACUGACCGCAGGGACACCAGCGGUACAAGAGGACCAGAGGAGUCGGAUCACACAGAGGUGUUAUAAAUAGCCGUCGUUCCAAGCAUCCUGGUCACACAGGACCAGGUUAAUUACAGUUGACACUGACACGGUAUAUAGGUGCUGUUCCCUGAGCCUCUGAGCAGGUUGGUCUCAAGUUUGACUGUGUACAGUAGGCUACCCACUGAGAAAGACAUCAUGUCUGUGGUGGUAAAGAUACCAGAGGCGGUGGGGAUGGCCCCACUGGUGAUGGGGGGGGGCUGUGAUGCCAACCUGAUGAAAAAUGUGUGGGAGAUCCGAGCCAGAGACUACAACUCCAAAAUCACAAGUGAGCAGGAGAGACAGGAGCAGAGUGCUCUGGCAACGCCGGUGGUAGCUGGUCCACUGCAGGACGUUGAGGUGCGGG